GGAUUGGGCUUUCGGCUGGCCAGACGGCCUUUCGUCCGUUGUCGGAGCCGCUUUGGGCAGGGGUUCGAGUCCCCUAUGCUCCA
rnacentral:tRNA from 1 species